rnacentral:rRNA from 1 species
CCCUUAGACGUUCUGGGCCGCACGCGCGCUACACUGACCAGUGCAACAAGCAUCCGUCCUUGGCCGACAGGCCCGGGCAAUCUUUGAACGCUGGUCGUGAUGGGGAUAGACUUUUGCAAUUUUUGGUCUUCAACGAGGAAUUCCUAGUAAACGCAAGCCAUCAACUUGCAUUGAUUACGUCCCUGCCCUUUGUACACACCGCCCGUCGCACCUACCGAUUGAAUGGUCCGGUGAAGCCUCCGGAUUGGCGCGCACCUCGGUGCCGCCGAGAAGUUGGCUAAACCUUACCAUUUAGAGGAAGGUGAANUCGUANCA